rnacentral:rRNA from 1 species
GCAUAUCAAUAAGCGAAGGAAAAGAAAACAACAGUGAUUCCCUUAGUAAUGNCGAAUGAAACGGGAACAGCCCAACGNUGAACCGCAGCACCCUCUUGCCGGCCUCGUGGAAUGUAGCGUAUGGAUUGGAUCUCUUCCAAGGCUUGUGACGCCAGUCAAAGUUCAACUUGACAGUGGCCACUGCCCCCAGAGGGUGAUAGGCCCGUAAGGCGGCGUCCGGCUUUGCUGAUCCUCUCCGCGAGUAGAGUUGCUUGAGAGUGCAGCUCGAAGUGCGAGGUAAACUCCUCGUAAGGCUAAAUACUGCCCCGAGACCGAUAGCAAACAAGUACAGUGAUGGAAAUUUGAAAAGAACUUUGAAGAGAGAGUUAACAGUACGUGAAACUGUGUAGCAGUAAACGGAGCUUUCCUCGAAGUUGCCCCGGCCGGAUCCCAGCCUUGGCUUCGCGGCCUCGGUGCAUCUCCGGCCGGUUGGCUACGGUAGGAACUGUUGGGCAUUGAACCUAAGGCCCGGGCAUGAGUUUUCGCCGCUUGCGGUGUCAGCUGUCCCGGUGUCCUGGCUUCUUGCCCCGACAGGCUUGGGGCAGACUCGUAUAGUGAGCAGCCAUGUUUGCUGCGGUCUGCCUUUCGUCUACCGAGUAGGUUGGCGGAAGUUCAACCCCUCUUGAAACACGGACC